AGUUUCCUGGGGUGUUCGCCAGUUGGUGAUGUCCCUGAGCCGAUAAUUGUAUCUUAAGGGUAAUUUUUCCCUGCUAUUGAGCAUGCUCAGCCCGACUGAGAAGCCUACGGUAGGGUCUUGUUUCCCGCCUUGAACCUCAUGGUUCAAGGGCUAAAAUCAACAGCGGCACUCUGGGUACUUC
rfam:Agarivorans albus MKT 106 DNA, contig: contig00027.